AGUGGCGAGCGAACGGGGAAUAGCCCAAACCACCCAUGUUACGGCAUGUGUGGGGUUGUAGGACCACGAUGUCGCAAGACAUUUGAUGAGUAGAAUCCUCUGGAAAGUGGAACCAUAGACGGUGAUAGUCCGGUAUACGAAGUCAAAUUAAGCGUAGUGGUAUCCUGAGUAGCGCGGGACACGAGAAAUCUUGCGUGAAUCUGCCGGGACCAUCCGGUAAGGCUAAAUACUCCCGAGAGACCGAUAGCGAACCAGUACUGUGAAGGAAAGGUGAAAAGCACUUCGAAUAGAAGAGUGAAAUAGUCCCUGAAACCGUGCGCCUACAAGCGGUCGGAGCUGCGUAAGCAGUGACGGCGUGCCUUUUGCAUAAUGAACCUACGAGUUACUUUUUCCGGCAAGGUUAAGCAUCUUGAGAUGUGCAGCCGAAGCGAAAGCGAGUCUGAACAGGGCGUAUAGUCGGAAGGAGUAGACGCGAAACCAAGUGAUCUACCCUUGGCCAGGUUGAAGGUUAGGUAACACUAACUGGAGGACCGAACCGAUAAGCGUUGAAAAGCUUCCGGAUGAACUGAGGGUGGGGGUGAAAGGCUAAUCAAACUUGGAGAUAGCUCGUACUCCCCGAAAUGCAUUUAGGUGCAGCCUUGUGAGUUACUAAUGUGAGGUAGAGCGACUGAUAAGAUGCGAGGGCUUCACCGCCUAUCAAGUCUUGAUAAACUCCGAAUGCGCAUUAGUUCUAUCACAGGAGUGAGGGCAUGGGUGCUAAGGUCCAUGUCCUAAAGGAGAAGAAUCCGGACCAUCAGCUAAGGUCCCGAAAUAGAUACUAAGUUGAACUAACGAAGUCAGAUUGCUAAGACAGCUAGGAUGUUGGCUUGGAAGCAGCCAUUCAUUUAAAGAGUGCGUAACAGCUCACUAGUCGAGGAGUUUGGCGUGGAUAAUAAUCGGGCAUUAAGUGUUUUACCGAAGCUAUGGGAUCAGUAAUGAUCGGUAGGGGAGCAUUCCACUCUGCGUCGAAGGUGAAGCGUGAGCUUUGCUGGAGCGUGUGGAAAAGCAAAUGUAGGUAUAAGUAACGAUAAAGGGGGUGAGAAACCCCCUCGCCGAAAGACUAAGGUUUCCUGAUCAACGCUAAUCGGAUCAGGGUUAGUCGGGUCCUAAGGCUCAGCCGAACGGUGAGGCCGAUGGCAGAACAGGUUAAUAUUCCUGUACUACCUUAAGGAGUGACGUGGAGACGGAGGCGUGACAGCGCCGCGGACUGACGGAAUAGUCCGUUGAAGGGUGUAGAUGCUGAUUGUUCCAGGCAAAUCCGGAGCAAGAGUCGAACCUGAUAGUAUGGAGCGUUCUUAGAACAAUCCAAUAGUGCGUGUAAUCAUACUUCCAAGAAAAUCCGCUAAACUUAAUCCUGCAGGUACCCGUACCGCAAACGGACACACGUAGUCGGGUUGAAUAUACUAAGGCGCUUGAGUGAUUCACGGUUAAGGAACUAGGCAAAUUGACCCUGUAACUUCGGGAUAAAGGGUCCCAACGAGAGUUGGGCGCAGAGAAUAGGUCCAGGCAACUGUUUAACAAAAACACAGGGCUGUGCCAAAUUGAAAGAUUACGUAUACAGCCUGACACCUGCCCGGUGCUGGAAGGUUAAGAGGAGAUGUCAUCGCAAGAGAAGCAUUGAAUUGAAGCCCCAGUAAACGGCGGCCGUAACUAUAACGGUCCUAAGGUAGCGAAAUUCCUUGUCAGGUAAGUUCUGACCCGCACGAAUGGCGUAAUGAUUUGGGCACUGUCUCGACAGCCCGCCCGGCGAAAUUGUAGUACUGGUGAAGAUGCCAGUUACCCGCAACUAGACGGAAAGACCCCAUGGAGCUUUACUGCAGUUUAAUACUGGGAAUCGGUAAUUCAUGUACAGGAUAGGUGGGAGACUGAGAAGCAUGGCCGUCAGGUCGUGUGGAGUCACCGGUGGGAUACCACUCUUGGAUUGCUGGUUUCCUAACCUGCGGCCCUGAAUCGGGUCGGGGGACACUGUUAGACGGGCAGUUUGACUGGGGCGGUCGCCUCCAAAAGAGUAACGGAGGCGCUCAAAGGUUCGUUCAGCACGGACGGAAAUCGUGCAUUGAGUGUAAACGCAUAAACGAGCCUAACUGCGAGACCGACGGGUCGAGCAGUAACGAAAGUUGGAGUUAGUGAUCCGGUGGUAUGUGAGUGGAAAUGCCAUCGCUCAACGGAUAAAAGUUACCCUGGGGAUAACAGGCUGAUCUCCCCCAAGAGUCCACAUCGACGGGGAGGUUUGGCACCUCGAUGUCGGCUCAUCGCAUCCUGGGGCUGUAUUCGGUCCCAAGGGUUUGGCUGUUCGCCAAUUAAAGCGGCACGCGAGCUGGGUUCAGAACGUCGUGAGACAGUUCGGUCCCUAUCUGUUGCGGGCGUAAGAGAUUUGAAGGGAGCUGUCCUUAGUACGAGAGGACCGGGAUGGACGUACCUCUGGUGCACCAGUUGUCCUGCCAAGGGCAUAGCUGGGUAGCUAUGUACGGACGAGAUAAACGCUGAAAGCAUCUAAGCGUGAAACUCUCCCUAAGAUGAGAUCUCUCAUCCAUUAUGGAGUAAGGGCCCAGAAAGACGAUCUGGUUGAUAGGCCGGAGGUGGAAGCACGGUAACGUGUGCAGCUGACCGGUACUAAUAGCCCGAGGGCUUGACCUA
rnacentral:rRNA from 1 species